rnacentral:rRNA from 1 species
GACGAACGCUGGCGGCGUGCCUAAUACAUGCAAGUAGAACGCUGAAGGAGGAGCUUGCUUCUCUGGAUGAGUUGCGAACGGGUGAGUAACGCGUAGGUAACCUGCCUGGUAGCGGGGGAUAACUAUUGGAAACGAUAGCUAAUACCGCAUAAUAGUAGAUGUUGCAUGACAUUUGCUUAAAAGGUGCAAUUGCAUCACUACCAGAUGGACCUGCGUUGUAUUAGCUAGUUGGUGGGGUAACGGCUCACCAAGGCGACGAUACAUAGCCGACCUGAGAGGGUGAGCGGCCACACUGGGACUGAGACACGGCCCAGACUCCUACGGGAGGCAGCAGUAGGGAAUCUUCGGCAAUGGACGGAAGUCUGACCGAGCAACGCCGCGUGAGUGAAGAAGGUUUUCGGAUCGUAAAGCUCUGUUGUAAGGGAAGAACGAGUGUGAGAGUGGAAAGUUCACACUGUGACGGUAUCUUACCAGAAAGGGACGGCUAACUACGUG